rnacentral:rRNA from 1 species
AGAGUUUGAUCAUGGCUCAGGAUGAACGCUGGCGGCGUGCCUAAUACAUGCAAGUCGAGCGAACGGACGAGAGUGCUUGCACUCUCUGAUGUUAGCGGCGGACGGGUGAGUAACACGUGGGUAACCUACCUAUAAGACUGGGAUAACUUCGGGAAACCGGAGCUAAUACCGGAUAAUAUUUAGCUUCGCAUGAAGCAAUAGUGAAAGACGGUUCUGCUGUCACUUAUAGAUGGACCCGCGGUGUAUUAGCUAGUUGGUGAGGUAACGGCUCACCAAGGCAACGAUACAUAGCCGACCUGAGAGGGUGAUCGGCCACACUGGGACUGAGACACGGCCCAGACUCCUACGGGAGGCAGCAGUAGGGAAUCUUCCGCAAUGGACGAAAGUCUGACGGAGCAACGCCGCGUGAGUGAAGAAGGUUUUCGGAUCGUAAAACUCUGUUGUAAGGGAAGAACAAGUACGUUAGUAACUGAACGUACCUUGACGGUACCUUACCAGAAAGCCACGGCUAACUACGUGCCAGCAGCCGCGGUAAUACGUAGGUGGCAAGCGUUAUCCGGAAUUAUUGGGCGUAAAGCGCGCGUAGGCGGUCUCUUAAGUCUGAUGUGAAAGCCCCCGGCUCAACCGGGGAGGGUCAUUGGAAACUGGGAGACUUGAGUGCAGAAGAGGAGAGUGGAAUUCCAUGUGUAGCGGUGAAAUGCGCAGAGGUAUGGAGGAACACCAGUGGCGAAGGCGGCUCUCUGGUCUGUAACUGACGCUGAGGUGCGAAAGCGUGGGGAUCAAACAGGAUUAGAUACCCUGGUAGUCCACGCCGUAAACGAUGAGUGCUAAGUGUUGGGGGGUUUCCGCCCCUCAGUGCUGCAGCU